UACGUAGGGGGCAAGCGUUGUCCGGAAUCAUUGGGCGUAAAGAGCGUGUAGGCGGUCCGAUAAGUCCGCUCUGAAAGCCCGGGGCUCAACCCCGGGAGGCGGGCGGAUACUGCCGGGCUAGAGUCCGGAAGAGGCGAGUGGAACUCCUGGUGUAGCGGUGGAAUGCGCAGAUAUCAGGAAGAACACCAACGGCGAAGGCAGCUCGCUGGGACGGUACUGACGCUGAGACGCGAAAGCGUGGGGAGCGAACAGG
rnacentral:rRNA from 1 species